AUCGCUUCUCGGCCUCUUGGCUAAGAUCAAAAGUGUAGUAUCUGUUCUUAUCAGCUUAAAAUCUGGUAUGUCUCCCAAAAGGGGACCAGAAUUUUAAAUCCAUUUUUGGAGAUCUAGGGUGGGUGCUCUGAGCUUGCUCAUCUCCACCUUAAGGGUUAACCUGGUAUUGCAGUUCCUCCAGGAAUGGCCCAAACAUU